AUGAAGAACAAGAUCAACACGCAGGAAGACUACAAACUGUGGGGGACAAGCGAGCUGCCAGAAAACCUCAUCGAGUACGCAGGAGUAGAUGCGUACGCCACGUAUAAGUCAUGGUUCAUGAUCGACUACAUCACAGAUGGUUCGGAAUUUGCGAAAGAGCGGGAGGCUAACAACUUCUACGACCACCCCUAUUGCCCCUUUAUGGGAUGA
rnacentral:rRNA from 1 species